rnacentral:rRNA from 1 species
CCAUUGUGCCAAGGUCCUAAGGGAAUCGGUUCUGGAGCUUGGCCUUCCCCUUCUUUUCCGGGCGAACGGACGAGAAGCUUGCUUCUCUGAUGUUAGCGGCGGACGGGUGAGUAACACGUGGAUAACCUACCUAUAAGACUGGGAUAACUUCGGGAAACCGGAGCUAAUACCGGAUAAUAUUUUGAACCGCAUGGUUCAAAAGUGAAAGACGGUCUUGCUGUCACUUAUAGAUGGAUCCGCGCUGCAUUAGCUAGUUGGUAAGGUAACGGCUUACCAAGGCAACGAUGCAUAGCCGACCUGAGAGGGUGAUCGGCCACACUGGAACUGAGACACGGUCCAGACUCCUACGGGAGGCAGCAGUAGGGAAUCUUCCGCAAUGGGCGAAAGCCUGACGGAGCAACGCCGCGUGAGUGAUGAAGGUCUUCGGAUCGUAAAACUCUGUUAUUAGGGAAGAACAUAUGUGUAAGUAACUGUGCACAUCUUGACGGUACCUAAUCAGAAAGCCACGGCUAACUACGUGCCAGCAGCCGCGGUAAUACGUAGGUGGCAAGCGUUAUCCGGAAUUAUUGGGCGUAAAGCGCGCGUACGGCGGUUUUUUAAGUCUGAUGUGAAAAGCCCACGGGUUCAACCGGGGAAGGGUCAUUGGAAAACUGGGAAAAACUUUGAGUGGCAGAAAAAGGAAAGGGGGAAUUUCCCUGGGUUAACCGGUGAAAAUGGGCCAAAGAAUUUGGAGGAAAAACCCCAGGGGGG